CCUACGGGAGGCAGCAGUGGGGAAUAUUGGGCAAUGGGCGCAAGCCUGACCCAGCAACGCCGCGUGAAGGAAGAAGGCUUUCGGGUUGUAAACUUCUUUUCUCAGGGACGAAGCAAGUGACGGUACCUGAGGAAUAAGCCACGGCUAACUACGUGCCAGCAGCCGCGGUAAUACGUAGGUGGCAAGCGUUAUCCGGAUUUACUGGGUGGAAAGGGCGUGUAGGCGGGAAAGCAAGUCAGAUGUGAAAACCAUGGGCUCAACCUGUGGCCUGCAUUUGAACCUGUUUUUCUUGAGUACUGGGGAGGCAGACGGAAUUCCUAGUGUAGCGGUGAAAUGCGUAGAUAUUAGGAGGAACACCAGUGGCGAAGGCGGUCUGCUGGACAGCAACUGACGCUGAGGCGCGAAAGCGUGGGGAGCAAACAGGAUUAGAUACCCCUGUAGUC
rnacentral:rRNA from 1 species